rnacentral:rRNA from 1 species
ACUCCUACGGGAGGCAGCAGUCGAGAAUCAUUCGCAAUGGGCGAAAGCCUGACGAUGCGACGCCGUGUGUGUGAUGAAGGCCUUCGGGUUGUAAAGCACUUUCGCUUGGGAACAAGAGAGGCGGACGAAUAAUCCGCUAAUUUGAGGGUACCAGGUAAAGAAGCACCGGCUAACUCCGUGCCAGCAGCCGCGGUAAU